rnacentral:lncRNA from 1 species
UCUUUUGGAUCGGUAAGAACUAAAACGUGGUGGAAACUGGGAAAAUCUCAUGUAAAAUCCAACCAUCUUGUGAGCUUCUUGUUUCGAGUUUUACUUACCAUGAUGGUAUAUCUAUAUUUUAAUGAAUCCUACUGCUAGAAGAUGAUGUUCUCAAUCCAACCAGGCAUACGUACGAGCUCUCAAGUUCUAGGUGAGGAGGUUGAUGUUUCAGUGUUGGGGUGCGUGUAAUAACUGAGCUACGGAUAUCUAUUGAUGAUUAAGGAGGUAUUGGUGAGUGUUUUAAUGAUUGUUUUUUAUUAUUAAUAUUUUUUUAUUUUUUAAAAAUUUUUAAUAUCAAUACAUUAAAAUAAAACAAAAAUAUAAAAAAAAUAAUUUUAAUUUUUUUAAAAAAAAUAUUACCCAAACUCCAUUUAAAACUUUGUAUGUAUGUGUUAUAAAGGGGGAUACAUGUCAUCCGACCAGAUAUUGAUUGGGAUUAAACCAUUCAAACUAGGUAUUUAAUACGACAACGUAGAUCAUAUGAGUGAGAACUCUGUUAAGAUACACGUGUACCUCAAAUACACCAACAGAGAUGCUUUAAAUUUUAAACCCAAAGGCCAAAGGCCCAACCCAAUAAGUUGGCCUUUUUGUUUCGGCCGUGGUUAUUUAGUGAAGGAAUUGGGCCGUCCAAUUUGGAAUCAAACCAAUGCUUUAAGCUUUAUAUCAAUUAGUCCUUCAAAUCCAAUUGGUAUGGACUGUCAAUGCGUGCAGUAUGGCAUCGAUGGAUCUUCUGAGAAGGCCUGCACAUUGCCCCAUAAGAAGGAAAAAAAAGCAAAAAAAUGUCUCAACGAUAGCAUGCAUCAAUGAGCCUUCUCCUCUACCACCGUUGAUAUUUGCUUGAAAAUUAAGUUCAACUCUAGCAUGCAUCUUUGGUCUCUUUGCUAGAUGAGGCAUUAAGAAUUACAAUGAAGUUCAUAUAUGCAUCUUGAUCCGUCUGAGAGAUAUGUUUAACCUUUAACUUUCAUAAAUACUAAUUAAAGCCGUGCUUAAAGAUAUUAUCUUAGUUUGUACUUCCAUAAUAUGUGAUGCAGAAAACAAAAGUUUGGAGCACAUAGGAUCAGGAUCCCCACAUGAGGAUUUGAUCUAAACAUAUUAUAUAAAUAAUUUAACAGAUAUUUGUAUAGAUAAUUAAAACUUAUCUAGAUUCAAGAGAAGAUUUGAUCGCGUCAAACUAUAUGAACACCUAAAACCUGCAAUAGCAAGAGAUCCAAUUAUUGGAUCAGUUUUAAAUUUUUCCAUGUAAUCUUAUGGGCGUUUUUCUAAUAUGCAACCACAACAUCAUUGAUUGGAUAUUUGAAUCUUUUAGAAUUAAGUUUUAGGGCUAGGCUUUUAUUUAGGCUAAUUUUGUUAUUUUUAUGUGUUUUUUUAUUUAUGUUUAAUUUCCUUUUUACUUUUAUAUUUCUAGUUAUUUUCUAGUAAGUGUAGAGUAUUUUUUUGAUAUAUUUAAAGGUUUUAUAAAAAAUAUUUUAAAAAAUAAAUUGUGAAUUCAUGACUCAUAUUUGCAAUCCCGUUUGUUGUGCUAUAGUCUUUAGUUUUUGUAUGCAUCAAUAUGUCAUUUUUUCUUCUAGAAAAACAAUUCAAUACAACUAGAUUUAGGUGGAUCCAAACUAUCUAUGGGCAUCCUAAUAAUAUUGUUGUUGUUCAUUAUUGUAGUAUACGUUAUCAUAAUAUGAUUGAUUUGAUUCACGAAUCUUCAUAAAUAAAUGUUAUUGAUUUGGUUUAUAUAAACUAGUUACACGUGGCAAUUCCUUUCUAUCUACCACAUUAAUUAGAUGAAUGAUCUUUCUUUUUGAGAUGCAUGAACAAGUUAUUUUUUUUUGUAAGAUCUCUAUUAAGGACAUCAUGCUUAAAUCUUUCAUGAGAAAAAAAAAAAAAACAAAUCCAUUUUCAAAUCUAAUACUCGAUGUGGGGGCACGAGGCCCAUGAUCUUAAUUAUAGCAAACUGUUUAGUCCAACUCGCAUUUAUGACGAGAAUAGUAAGGGCACAAAUUAACUAUUGAUAGUUGAAAAUAUUAUUUUAAUAUGUUUUAAAAUAAAAAAUAUUUUAAAACACAACGAAAAUUAUUAUAUAUAUAUAAAUAAAAGAAAUUCCAAAAAGUUAUUUUCUGUGCAAAUCACAAAUCACUCAUGCAAGUCAUAGGCUCAUAGCUAGGUUCACAUGAACGGUUGGUAAAGUUAAGAAGAGAGAAAGGUCCUUCCAUGUACGGUGGAUUGAUUGAUGAGGUACGGUUGCGACCCGCCAUGCUCGACCUUCAAUUAUCCACGUGAACAUGACAUGAUGUCAAUGAAAAAAUAAAAAAAAGAAAGGGGGGCUAAUUUGCACGGAAAGUCAACAAAGGUUUCCUAGAUUGUCCAAUGAAAUUAGCCCCUACCUUCACCACUCUCCACGAAACUUACCAAAUCCCCAUUUCUUUCUUUAUUGGUCCAAAUUUGACCUUAGAAGAUAGCUUUCACGAUCCAAUUUUGAUUCAUUCAUUUAUCACCCCACAUGGUGUUGUAGUUGCCUAGAAGUCUCCUCAAAGUCCACUCUUGCAGGCAAGCUAGGGUUCCUUCCACCUUACACUCUAACAUUUUACGUGUCAAACAGUUGUACACAGACGACUAGCCGUAGUUCUUGACUGUUUAAAUCACCAAAAUGUUUUGUAUUCUUCAAAACUUAUUCGUCGGUUUCUUGACUUUUAAUUUGUUUCUUUAAUUAGUUCACUUGCAAACGUUAAUUAUUGAAUGUUAACAAGUCAUUGGGAUAUGAAAACUAAUGAGCUAGGUUUGAGGUUGAGAGAUAAGAAAAAUAUUUAUAUAUUUCAUAAUUGAAAGUUCAUAAAAAUAUGCUAUUUUUAUUUUAAUUUAUUGCCCUUGUGACCAUAACCAAAUACCACGAUUGCCCUUGUGACCAUAACCAAAUACCACGAUUGAUAAACCAUUAAUGAGUUGGAAAAUAUAUGUUGAUCGUGUUUGUUUUAUAUAUAUGUUGAUCAUUUUUAAAACCGAACAAUUUGAAACAAAAUAUUAAAGCAUGAAAUAAUAGUAACAAAAGGAAUGGAAAUCUUGUGUUUACUUUAAUUUCUAUCCUUUCGACCCCCAACAAGGAAAAAAAAAAAGAAACUAUGAACAUCUGAACCUCAUUUUCAUCCCUCGGAAGAAGGGAAGAAAGAGAAAAACAACUAUUGAUAACAACAAAGUAAUUAACUAUUCAUAAAAAAACAAAAAAAUUGAUAAGAGAUAUGUCUAAUUAAUUUCUGUGGCUUGUGUUGUUCGUGGCAUUGCUGUUAUUGUUGUUGUUGGUGGUGUUGCUGUUAGCACCACCAAUGAUGGAGCUGAUGGCAGCUGCAAGUGCUGCAGUGAAGUUAGGAUCGGCCGUG